ACAGUAGUUGAACUACUUAUAGGACCACUCUGCCACCAUAAGUCGAUCAGUACAAAAUAUUUUAUUGAAAUGUGUUAGAUUUUUGUUAUCAAUCUAUUUUUUAAUUUUAAUUGUACUAUUUUAUUUAUUUUGUUUAAUAUAACAAGGAUGUGGAGUCCGAACAGGGUGAAAUUUGGGUCAAAGGGAGGCAAUUUAUUAUACCCCUGUUUAACACCACAUACUUGAAAUUCCCUCAAUGUUAGGAUUUUCAUCUACUUGGAUAUUCAUGUUUGUACAUUUUUUUUUAAUAUCAGAUGUAUACUAGCUAAUAUUGACUAUUAUUUAGAGCUUUGUAAUAAAAAAAAAUAAAUGUAAGCAGAGCUCUAGAUAAUAAGUAUGCAGGGUGGGAGAAAUCUUGGGUCAUUAACAAUUGAUUUGCUGAAAUUUUCAAGAAAGGGGAUUUAUUGGAAAUGCAUCUGAUAUAUUUAAUGUAUAAAAUUAUAUUUAAAAAAAAAAAGAUGUUAAGAUGAUGAGGAGAGCCACCUUGUCAGCCGGGAGAGCAGCUCUAAGGGAGAUGGUCAAUUUAAUCUUCACCAAGUCUGAGGCUUUACCAUGAAAAAUAUGUGGUUGUUAUAAUGAUGAUGUUUUCAUGGUGUUGGGAGUAAGACUUGGAUGUCUGAUAUUGUUAACAUGUUGGUUACCAUCAGGUUUCCAUUGGGUUACUUGCUGGGAUAAAGCUGUUAUAAGUCGAAAGAGUUGCUGUUGCUGCCUUCCUUGUAUGGUAAAAUCCUCAGACUACAAUCCUGCAAACCAUUGGAUGAACUGUUGCUAUCUUUUGUAAAAAAAUCAGCAGAUAUUUGUCUUAUAAGCAGAAUGAAUUAUAAAUGCAAUUAAUUUUUAAUGCUUUAUUAUUCAAAUUAUAAAUAUUUACUUCAUUAUUUUUUCUUGCAUUCAAUUAUUGUUUUGUGAUUGAAGAAAAAUAAAAAAAAAAAAUGUGAAAUUAUUGUUAUUUGAGAGGUCCCAAAGGCAUGAUGUAUGGUUUCACAAG